rnacentral:rRNA from 1 species
AUUGAACGCUGGCGGCAGGCCUAACACAUGCAAGUCGAGCGAGCGGCGGACGGGUGAGUAAUGUCUGGGAAACUGCCUGAUGGAGGGGGAUAAAUACUGGAAACGGUAGCUAAUACCGCAUACUGUCAGAUGUGCCCAGAUGGGAUUAGCUAGUAGGUGGGGUAACGGCUCACCUAGGCGACGAUCCCUAGCUGGUCUGAGAGGAUGACCAGCCACACUGGGACUGAGACACGGCCCAGACUCCGACGGGAGGCAGCAGUGGGGAAUAUUGCGCAAUGGGGGCAACCCUGACGCAGCCAGGCCGCGUGAAUGAAGAAGGCCGUAGGGUUGUAAAGUACUUUCGGUAGCGAGGCGUUAACUACAGAAGAAGCACCGGCUAACUCCGUGCCAGCAGCCGCGGUAAUAC